rnacentral:rRNA from 1 species
GGGUCAGUAGGUUGGUCGUGCCACCGGUACGUACUGGUCUCACUGAUUCCUCCCUCCUGAAGAACCGUAAUGCCAUUAAUUUGGUGUUGCGGGGAAACAGGACUGUUACUUUGAAAAAAUUAGAGUGUUUAAAGCAAGCUAAUGCUUGAAUACAUUAGCAUGGAAUAAUGAAAUAGGACGAUCGAUCCUAUUUUGUUGGUUUCUAGGAUUGACGUA